rnacentral:lncRNA from 1 species
CCAGAACAACCACCACCAUCACCCCCUUCUAAUUCCUCCACCAAUGCACCCCCUCAGCACCGCCGCUGCCACCUCCUUCCUUUCCACCCUCUUAUCAUUCCUCCACUUAACGGCAUCAUCUCCUUCGAAUUACAUGAUUAAUCUUUCAAACUGCAACCAAAACUUCUCUUGUGGUGCCCUCACAGACAUCACCUACCCUUUCACCGGUGGCCAACGUCCACCCCACUGCGGCCCACCGGAGUUCCGGCUCAAAUGUGAUGGUGACUCAGUGACCACCCUCACAGCUAACUCACUGACUUACCGAGUCACUCAGGUUAACCAAACCAGCCAAAUUUAAGGCUCUCACGUUCAGACUUCUACGAUGAGUACCGUCCAUGCACAUACCAAUCCACCACCAGCACUUUUGAUAACGGUAGCUUCAGUCUUGUCUACCACAAUGAAAACCUUACUUUUUUUUAUGGGUGCAAGGACUUAGGUGACUCUGUCGAUAAAAAAUUUAAGCUUCCAUGUCCCAUGCCAGGAGAUUCAGAAGAAGGGUUUUUCAUGAUUGGUGAUCCUGUUUAUGGUCUUCCUUUUAAGGACAAGUGUUGGACUAGUUUUCAAGUGCCAUUUCUCCAGAGUCGGGCACAACAACUUAGGGCUAAUGGGUCAUCAUUACUUGUUGAGGUUUUGAGAGAAGGGUUUGAUGUCAGUUAUAGGAAUCCUUACAGUGCUGAUUGUCAGAAAUGUUCCAAGCAUUCUGGUAGGCAUUGUGGGUUUGAUGGUAAAGUACCUAUUUGCAUCUGUAAUGAUCACCUCUGUCCUGGUAAGUUAAAAAUCGAUGUUAAUUUUGACUAGCCAAAAUCCUCUAGUUUCCUUAAGAGUUUGGUAGCUUUCAAGAAAUACUAGUAGGCCUUCUUGUGGUAAUUGAUAUGGAGGGUUUUUUUAAUCAAAUUAUGCAAAGCUUCAAUGAUUUCAAGAAUUAAUGCUUGAAUUGCUUGAAAAAGGAAAGUUGUUUUUAAAAGUAAUUUUUACUAGAAAAUAUAUUAAAAUAAUUUUAUUUUAAAUGAGCAUAUAAAAACAUUAAAAAUAUUAAUUUAAUUUAAAAAAAACAUUUCUACAAUAAAACAAUAAACACCACCAGAAAUUCGCUAAAUACCAACGGACUUACCGACGGAAUUUUUCGGCCGAAAUCACCGACGAACAAUAUUAAAAACGUUUCUACAAUAAAAAAAAUGAAUGAAUGGAGUGACAUAAACAGUAUUCAAGAAAGAAUUGUAAAGCUGCCAUGGAAUGCUUAGCUUAAGUUUACAACAAUAUAGAUUAAAACAUUAAGGAGUUCAGAAAAUAAAGACAUUACCUAAUAUAUCACACUUAAUCUAAAAAUUAAUUCCUGAACUUUAUUGAAUUUUAUGUCUGCUGAGACUGAUUCUAUAUAUUAUUUGUGCCAUGGAAUGGUUCGCUUAAGUUUACAACAAUAUAGAUAAGACAUUAAGGAGUUCAGAAAAUAAAGACAUUACCUAAUAUAUCACACUUAAUCUCAAAAUUAAUUCCUGAACUUUAUUGAAUUUUAUGUCUAAGACUGAUUCUAUUAUUUGUUUAUUACUAAUUAAGUACGACAUCUUCCAUUGGUUGUCGUCAUCACCAUCAUCAUGAGUCAGCACAUUCCACUUCUCUGUCUUUAGGGUAAUUUCAUUUUUUUUAUUAUAGUUGCUGAUCACCAAUGAAAGUUGUAAAAUUUUCUUAUAUCAUAAACUUGCUUGAUGUACAUGUUACAGGAACAGGAUCUUCAAGGUUUGGUAAGGGUCUUAAGAUUGCUACAGGUGACUAUAAGAAUAAGAAUCCAAUAUUUUCAUUUGAUGACGAUGACGUCGAUAAUAAUGAUGAUGAUCAUUUUCUUUUACAGCCAUAUCAGCAGUUAUGGCUGCGAUAAUUGCUUUUUCUAUAUUUGCAAUUUGUUUCAGUGGAAGAGAAGGCUCAUUUAGUGGCAUUAUAGCAAUGACCUUCAAGCUGAAGAGUUCACAGAAUGUUGACAGGUUUGAAACAUUUAUGAUGGACAAUCAUUGUCUCACCCCAAGGCGUUAUUCAUAUUCAGACAUUAAGAAAAUCACCAACUCAUUCGCCAUAAACUAGGAGAGGGGGGAUUUGGUAAUGUAUACAAAGGAAAGUUAACGAACAGUCGACUUGUGGCCGUAAAAGUCCUAAAAGAAUCUAAAGGUGAUGGAGAAGAGUUCAUGAAUGAAGUUGCGAGCAUUAGCAGAACUUCCCACGUGAAUAUAGUUACACUUUUGGGUUUCUGCUAUGAGAAGACUAAAAGAGCUUUGAUUUACGAAUUCAUGACCGAGGGUUCUUUAGACAAGUUCAUAUCUUAUGAAGGAACCCCUGAUACAAAUUUUGGUUUACAAUGGGAAAGGUUUUAUGAAAUUGCAGUUGGUAUUGCUAGAGGUCUCGAGUACUUACAUAGAGGUUGUAACACUCGAAUUGUGCAUUUUGACAUAAAGCCUCACAACAUUCUUCUCGAUGAAGAUUUUUGUCCAAAGAUCUCUGAUUUUGGUCUAGCAAAGCUAUGUAAGAGUAAAGAGAGUAAGGUUUCAAUGACAGGCGCAAGAGGGACUGUCGGUUACAUAGCACCUGAAGUGUUCUGCAGAAAUUUUGGAGGAGUAUCUUUCAAGUCUGAUGUGUAUAGCUAUGGAAUGAUGGUUCUAGAAAUGGUCGGAGAAAGAAAAAAAAAUUAUACUGGAUCUUCGGAAACCAGUGAAAUGUAUUUCCCUGAUUGGUUUUACAAGUAUCUUGAACCGGGAGAGAUUACAUUACUUCAUGAGGGUAUAUCAGAAGAGGAAGAAGAGAUUAUAAAAAAAAUGAUUUUAAUAGGUUUGUGGUGCAUCCAAACAAUUCCAUCGGAUAGACCAUCAAUGACAAAGGUGGUAGAGAUGUUUGAAAGUAGUCUUCACUCUUUGCAAAUUCCACUAAAACCUUUACUUUCUUCACCUAAAAGGUCUACUCCAGAUCACUCUUCCACUAUAUCAUCAAUGCCAAGUGUGUCCUCACAGGGGGGUGGAGUGAACAAAUUGUCAAUUGAUGAAAGUGACUUAGAAUUAGAGAUCUCAAUACUUUGUGAAGCCAGAUGAAGAUAUAAAAAACCUUAUUUCAUGUCCUUCAUCUAAGAGCUGCUUCUAGGCUGAAUGGUUCUUUGAUAUAGCUUACCAGAGGAUACUCACACAGGAUUGGUAAGAGACACUAUCGUCUCUCUCCAUCUCUUUUUUUCACCACUGAUGCAUACCAAUUAUAAUAUGUACUUCAUGUUCAAUCUGCUGAAAUUGUAGAACGUUUUGUUCCUGCUUGCAUCUUAUUGUUUAUGAUUUCAAAAGUUAGAGGUUCAACUUUAUCAUGCCUAUUGUUAAUGUCAUCUGUCCUGCAUUGGAACUUUUUUAAUGGACUUUCAUAUUUUUCUUACUCUGUUUAUUUGAGAAAUAUAUUUCCCGGCUUGGUUUUAUAAGCAUCUUGAACCAAGAGAGCUAACAAGACCUCAAGAGAGUAUGAUAGAAGAUGAAGAAGAGACUGUAAAGAAGUCCACUAUGGGACGAGGAAAAGAUGAGAAGAUGAUCUUUGUGGGUUUGUGGCGCAUUCAAACAAAUCCUUCAGAUAGAGCAUCAACGACAGGAUGUGGAUAAUGUAUGUUAAUUGCAAGCACGCAGCACUGAUAGGAAACACCAUCCUCUCUGCCUCUAGUUUUUGUCAAUGGUAAUAUGUGUUAAUUAUGAUUUGUACUUGAUGCUCAGAACUGUAGAAUUAAUCUAUCAUCCGUCACUAUUAAACAAGUUCAAAAUUUAGAAGAAAAAAUUGCAGGUUAAGGUAUAUCAUAACUUGUGGUUAAUUGAUAUCUUAGGGAGAUGAUGAUUCCUUGUGUCAAUUUCAGACGCAUCUUCGCUACCUAUCUACUCUGUAUUUGCUAGGGUAAGGGUCUUAUUGGAUCACUACUGAGCUCCCAUAGUCUCCUUCAUGUGCUGUAAAGCUCUUCCUGUUAUUUUGGUAAGGUCCAGGAGUGCUUCUUUCUUUCAUGUUGAAGGCAUUUUGACCAUUUUAAAUUUGGCAGAAUAUGAAAUUGCUUACUCAGCAGAGCUUGACUAUGAGUUUAUUUGAAAUGCUUUCAACAUUCCCUAUCACCAAUCAACAUAACUCAUGUUCGUAUGUAGGAAUCUUAGGAGCACCCUCUUCUUAAAGCUCAUAUAAGUUUUUCAACGUUCUAUGAUCCCCCAAGUUCUGAAAAUCCCCUCCUUCAGAUUUCUGCUAAUUGGACUGAAAUAAUUCUAACCAUUAAAAAUUAAGGACCAAAAUGAAAUUUUAUAAGUAAUUUUGGGACAUCUAUGAGUUUUACCCAUCAAUUGAUUAUUAUCUUGUGUAAUUGAGGAGCUUGUGUAUACUUCUUUAAAAAAAAAUCAGAUAAGAAGGAAAUACUUAUCUAGAUAUAGGUUUGAUUAAGAAAAAGAGAUGUUAAUCAAAGAGGUAAUUAUAGGCCAGCAACUAGAAUUCCAGAAGUUCUUUCUAGUUAUAAGAAGAAGAAGAAAAAGCAAGGAAUGAUGGGAAACCAGUGCUUGUGAGUUGUCGUACAUGGAUGUGUAGUGUUGAGGGUUCAAGGAGUCACUAUCUAGUUAUUUAGUUUAGAAUUGCUAGGAAACCUGGUUAUAUUGGUUUUAUCAUAAAUUCAAGGGUAAGUGACUGGUUGUGGUUAGAGAAGGUAUUAACACACUUUACCUAAGGUAAGCUGCUUUGUGUGGUUUUGAUGGAUUUUAAAAGUUUUUAUAGGUUCCUAACCUACAAUCAAUUUAUGGAUUAAGAUGAAGGCAAAUGGGUUUUCUACCACUCGUGGGUCGUAGUGAGAAAAACUUUCAAUUAAAAUAAGUAAAUGUUUAGUAUAAUUUUGAGAAUUUUCUAGUUAAUUUCUAAUAUUUAAAUACCAAUCUAGUUGUAGGUCCAACAUUUAUACCAGAAUAUUUACCAUUAAUUUUCAUAAAUUAUAAUUUUAUCGGUUAUAAAAAAAUUGAUUAAAUUCUCAUGAAUUCAAUAAAUUGAUUUAUUAAAUCCAAAAUGUAAGCAAUAUAUAUAUUAUUUUUGUAUGUAAAUACUAAAACACCAAGUAUUUUAUUUUUUAAAGCAAAAUAUGAUUUUUUAUAUUUUUGAGAGACUUCAUCAUUUGCAAAUUAAAUAAAGAUUGUAUUUUUCAAAGAUAAAUUUUUUGUUAUUGUUUUUGUGGAAGGAAAACAAUCCAUUUAAUACCAAAAAAGCACCUCACGUGUAGGUCAAAAUUCUAAACAUUAAAUAUGUGAGGGUAAAAAAAGUGAGGAAAUCAAAAUUGAUUCAAAAAUUGUCUUCCAAACAUUAAGAAAAUAUCACCAACUGAUGAAAGACGUAUUUGGCAAGACAAAAAUAAAAUAUUUUUUAUCAAGACUAUUUUGACCUCAAUAUCAAUCCAAAACAAAUUAUCGUUUACCAACUCAAAACCAAACAACACCAAACAUCCACACAUAUUUUAUUAAUGUCACAAACUUAUAUUCAAAUUCCAUGCUAAUUCAAAUAAAGUAACAUCAAUCCAAGCAUAAAUCAUGCAUCAAUAUUUAACAUCUUCAAACCCAAACCCAAAAAUAGGAAACCUAUAAUUCAACACAAUUAAUCAAGUUAUAUCGAGAUCCAAACACAAAUCAAACCAUGUUAACAAUCUAAAUAUUAUACAAAAUAAUAAGCUUUUUACUCCAAAACUUCACAAUUUAUCGCAAUUUUGUCUAAAAAUUGUUUGAGUUCAUGAAUCAACCUUCCGGGAUGAUUGGAAUGGCCAGGGUAUAAUUCUAUGGACACUAGAAGGCCGUUGGGACAAUGGCGGUGCAUGGAUUUAUGCACUACCACUAGAGAAGCGUGGAGUCACUCUCUAGUGACCCGAACAAAUAUAGACCCACUAGAUCGGGUAGAUCAUCAACCCCCUAUUUUUCUUUUUCUUUUUUGCCAAAAGUGAGGCAAACAGAGAUCUAAGGAGGGGAAUCCAACCAUAUUAAGCUUUGGCUCCCUUCUCCGCUCUUUUCUCUUUACAUGACUGCUUUCCUCUCUUGGUCCUAUCGUAGAUGCGAUCGGCAGCAUGCAUAGAGGAGGAUAUAUAAAAGGAAAGAGAGAGAUCCUAAACAACUCUAGAGAAUGAAGCAUCCAUGGAAGAGGAAGCGUGGAGAAAUCCUGCUCACUUCAUAAGAGUUCUUCUUUCUAUUAUUUUUCUCUUCAUUAUGUUUAAAUUUAGUGAGUUUUUUUGUUUGUUUAGAUUAAUAAUGAACUAAUUUUUUUAUUAUAGGGCUAGGAUAUAAUCUUUGAAUUCAUGACAUGAGUUGAAUGUUGUUGAAUUACAUAUAUUUUCUUGAUUUUAAUUUGAUGAUUUUGGUUUUCAUCCUUGUAAUUUAUUGGCUAUGAAUUGCAUAUUUAAGGUGUUCAAAGAAGUAACAGAAAGUUAAAGUUCAAUAUCAAUUCAUGAAUUCAUCAAACCUUGGUAGUAUAGUUUAGAAGUAAAUACACAUUAUUAUGACUUAUAUUCAAGAGUUCCACAAAAAUUAAUGAAUUUAUAUUAAUUUCUAUGAUAACGAAAGUAUAUAUAAGAUUAAUAUAGAUAUAAUUGUUAUAUCUUGAAAAAGGAUGUCAUAUACAAAAGGAAAUUCAGUCAUUGCAAUUAGCAAAAUAUUAGUCCAAGAAACUAUAUUUAAACUCAUGGAAAGAAUUCUUUUUGAUGAAACCCUACACCUUAGAAACCUUUGUCUUUGAUUCUAAUGCUCUGUUUGUUUCAAGGAAAAUGAAUUCUUGGAAUUCGUUUUCCUUACUUUCCCAUGUUUGGUAACAAUAUAGAAAAGUAAGUCAAUGGAAACUUAAUUCCGGUCAACAUAAAACAACUGCUUUAUCAAAGGAAAGUGUUUUCCAUUUGAUAAAGAAAGGAAAACACUUUCCUUUUUUUAUUACACCCAUUUUCAGAAAUCACGAUCUCUCUCUUUCUCUUUAAAAAUGAUUGGAAGCAGGAACAAUUACAGAAGCAUUUCUCUAGACAAUUGAAGCAUUUCACUUGAACAAUAUUUCAAGUAUUUUUUUUCUCUGUUAUUUUCUUUAUGUUUUUAUCUUCUUUCGUAGAUCUGUAAAAUUUAUUCCAUAAAUCCAUUUCCCUAUUCUUGAUAAAUCUACUACCUAACAUAUGUUUUCCAUAACAUUUUCAUAACACAGCUAAAAUUCAUCAAGCAAGCCACAAAAAACACAAUUUUUCCAUGACAGUUUUCUUCUUCAUCACACACAUUUAGCAUUUUUAUUCUGAACAAACAAACCAAAUCAAGUGCACAAAAUCAAGUGCAGAGAAAGGCACUUGAAAAUCCCCAAACUGUGUUAAUCAAUCUUCCCCAGCAAAAAGCAUCCCCUCCCUGUUACCUCAUCCCUGGAUCCAGCCACCAUAUCCCGGGUGGAAGCUGUCUCUUUUUUUUUUAACAGUAGCCGGGGGAGAGAGGGAGGAGAACUGGGAAGGAGGAGCCAUGUUGCCCCUUGAAUCUUUGAUCUUUGUCCAGCUUCUUUGUCUUGAAUAUUUGCUUCUUUAUGCACAAAUGGCUAGAGAAAUAGAGAGGGAACACGGGGAAACCGAUAGGGAAUAGAGGCAUGAGAGAAACCGAGAGGGAGAGGGAACAGGGAACAAGGAACAGGGGAAGGGGAAUGAGAGAAACCGAGAGGGGAAUCGACCGAGAGGGAGAGGGAACAGGGGGAAUCAAUUGAGAGGGAAAGGGUGAGGGAACAGGGAAUACGGGAAUGGGAGAGGGGAAUUGACCGAGAGGGAGAGGGCAGGGAACAGGGAACAGGGGAAUCGACCGAGAGGGAGAGGGAACAGGGAACAGGUAACAGGGGAAUGGGAGAGGGGAAUGGAAUUAUAAGCUUUUAAUUAUACUUGUGAAGUCAGGGGAAGGAAAUUUGAAGGCUGCGUGUUUGUAUAAGUGAAAAUGUGAAAUGAAAGAGAUGAUGAGAGUUUACUAGAGAAUGUGAGCUCCCAUUUUUUUCCAUGUGUUUGUGCGAGAGUUAAUGAGCAGGGUUUAAAUAAGCUUAAAGCUUGUUGUUCUGUUUUUAUUACUUGGUGAUUUAUAUAUCUCUAUAUUCAUAUGAAUGAUAUAAAUCUACUUGUUUUUAUGUAAUCAUGUGAAAUGACUACCUUAAUUAUAUAUGGUCAUAUUAUUAUUGUGAAUAAUUACACCAUUACCGUGUGAAAUAGGAUGUUUAAAUACAUGUUACAUUAAUAAGGAGAAUUAUAACAGAAUAAUAAACAUUGUUUGUCAGCUUCUUUCAGCAUAAUUUAUUGUAUUGAUUGUGGAAGUAUUUUAUAUGUUUUUUUUAAUAUUCGUUUCCCCAUAUUUUUAGGUUUUGUUAUCAGAAAACUUCACUUUCAUGUUAUGGAUAGUAAGAUAAUUCAUGCAGCAUGUAUGGGAGCAGCUGUAACUGUGAUAGCUACAGGGGUAGCUAUUGAACAAGAAAGAAAUAUAAUUUAUAUACCAAGAGAACCACGUAUAAAUGCAAUUGCUCAACGAGAAUUCUAUAUUGACAGCAUUUUGAAUCGAGGUGAUAGACAUUGCGUUGAACAAAUUCGUAUGAAACCUGUUGUCUUAUAUAGAUUGUGUGAUAUUCUCACAAGUCGUGACCUAUUACGAUCAACUCAAAAUGUGUCUAUUAGGGAGCAAGUAAUUGUGUUCUUACAAAUUGUAGGCCAAAACCAAAGAUUUCGUGUUAUUAGUGGUAUAUACUAUAGGUCUGUUGAAACUAUCCAUCGUUACUUUAGAAUUGUUUUAAAAGCAGUUCUUAAGUUAUACAAACACCUUAUUAAAGAUCCAGAGGAUACAGUUCCAGCUGAGAUAAUGAAUAAUCGAAGAUUCUAUCCUUAUUUUAAGGUAUGAAAACAAUACCAAUAUUUUUAUACAUUAAUUAAUUACAUCUAAAGAAAAGGUUAUAAAUUAUUUUUUCAUGUUUAUAUAGGAUUGUGUGGGAGCAAUUGAUGGUACCCAUGUUCCUGCAAAUGUUCCUGUUGAGAUUCAAGGAAAGUUUAGAGGUCGAAAAGAAGGAACAACACAAAAUGUUUUAGCAGCUAUAACUUUUGAUUUGAAGUUUAUAUAUGUUUUAGCUGGUGGGAAGGAAGUGCCCAUGAUUCACGGGUUUUAGGUGAUGCAUUAUCAAGACUUAAUGGUCUAAAAAUUCCAGAAGGUAUAUAAUAAAGUAUGUAUUAUAUGCAAUAAACAUAUAAAAUGUCUUGUUACAUAAAGAUAGUAAUAGGUUUUUGUUUUUUAAUUUGUAGGGAAAUAUUAUCUCGGUGAUGCUGGUUACGGUAUUCGAAAAGGAAUCAUUUCUCCUUUUCGUGGAGUUUGAUAUCACUUGAAUGAUUUUACAGAAAGUUCACCAAAAAAUGAAAAUGAGCUAUUUAAUCUUCGACACUCUUCAUUGAGAACCGUUAUUGAGCGAGGGUUUGGUAUUUUGAAGAGUUGUUUUAGAUCAAUUGAUGGAAAAUCUUUUUGGUCUUAUGAAACACAAAUAGAUGUUGUGCUUGCAUGUUGUAUUAUUCAUAAUCACAUAAUGGAAGUAGAUCCUUAUGACUUUCUUAUGGAGAAAAUAUGUUCGGAAAGUCAACCAAUUAGACGAACAAUCAACUUAAGUCAACGGGAGGAAAGGGAAGAGAAUAGGGAGUGGAUAACAAAAAGAGAAAUGAUUGCAUCAACCAUGUGGAAUGACUAUAACACUCAAAGAAACUAGUAAUUGAGUGUUAAUUAUAUGUGUUUGUUUUUAUUAUGUCUUGCUUGAGUUUGUAUUAUCUUUGUUUUAUAUAUGGAGUAGAUGUUGACUUUAUUCUAGUUUCUCUUUUAAUUAUUAAUUGUAGUUUUUAUAUGAAAUUUAUUAAAUCUAAAUAUUGUAUGAUUUUAUUUUGUAUAAAUUUAUAAUUUCCUUUUUGUAAAAAUGAGUUCCACGCAGAAUGAAAAAUGCAAGGGCAAGCACUUCACAUGGUCUAAGCCAAUGUCUCACAUCUUGCUUGAGAUGUUAGCUGAGGAGACACUUAAAGGAGACAAACCUUCUUCGACCUUUAAAGCAGAAUCUUUUGUUAAGGUGGCUACAGAAAUCAGUCAAAAGUUCAACGUCCAAUGCGAGCCUAAGCAUGUGGACAAUCAUCUCAAGACUAUGAAAAAAGAAUGGGGAAUAAUAAUCAAACUUAAAAAUAAAAGUGGCUUUGGCUGGGAUGAUUUUUUUAAGAUGAUUACAGUUUUGAAAGAUGUAUAUGAUGAAGAAGUAAAGGUAUGAUAAAUAUUAUACUCUUUGUAAUGUUUAUAUUUAUUUUUGUUUCUAAACUGCUAUACAAUGAACUAAAAAAUUGCAUAUUCUAAACUUUAUGAACAAGCACACCCCAAUCAUGACAAGUUUCUCAACAAAAAACUUGAUAUGUACGAGGCAAUGACAAUUGUUGUUGGAAAAGACAUGACAACCAGAAAUUAUGCAAAAUCAUAUGCUGAUGUCAACUUGGAAGAGAACACUGAAGAGCAUUCAAUUUCAAUUGAAAAUGAAGGUGAAUAUGAAGAAACUUAUAAGGGAAAAGAAACAUCUUCCUCUAGUACAAAAAAGAGGCAACAUAGGAAGAGAAAUCGUAUCUAUGAAGAUGAUGGUAUUGAAAAGUUAUCUAAACAGAUUAGAGAUGUAGCAUUUGCAAUUCAAAGCCUCAGCAAAAAUCAACUUGAUGUUAAUGCGCUGUAUACGAAAGUGAUGAAAAUUGAAAGCUUUGAUGAGAUCACUUUUAGGGAUGCAUUUGAUCAUUUGGUCUAAAAUGAAAUGUUGGCAAAAACAUUUAUGGCAAAAAAUGCUAAUUUGAGAAAAAUUUAGGUUCAGAAUUUUAUGAACCAACACUACUACAGGCCUGCUUGCUAAGAUAGUUUGACUAUAAUAUGUAUGUAUAUGACAUUGAAACUUAAUAUUUAUGCAUGACUAUGUUUGAUGUUAGAUAUUUAUAUUUAUUUCUUGAUGUUUAUUUGAUAUAUAUUAAAGUUAUAUUAAAGGGAUAAUUGCCUUUACCCAUAAAAAAAAAAUAUUUAUCCAAAAUACCCAUCAAAUUAUUUUUGUAUGUAUUUAUCUUUUAAAAAAUUCUUCAUACCAAAAAAAAAACAAAACCCAAAUAUAUAACUCUUACCAUAAACUAAUUUGGCUUUCUUCAUAUGAAAAAAAAAACUUUUUUUAAGCUUUUAAAAUUAAAAAAUAUAUAUAUUAAUAGGUUUUACUUGAUAAAUAUUUCACAAGUUUAUUUCUCUAUAAUAUGAUAUGACAUAUAUAGUUAUAUUUUAUAAAAUAAGCUAUGUAUGAAUAUAUAAUAUAAUAAAAAAAAUUCAUCAUUAUACUUUUUAUAUUUUAUUUUUUUAUUGUAAGUGAUUAAAUAUUUUAUAUUAAAUAUUAUAUAUAUAUUAGAUAAACUUGAAAAAAAAAAUUAAUUCAUUAAUAAAUUAUUUUUCAGUUCAUUUUCCAUAACAUAAACAAACACUGAAAAGUGUUUUCCAGUUCAUUUUUCAUAACACUGCCAAACAUCGAAAAAUACUUUUCCGGAAUUCACUUUCUCGGGAAUUCACUUUCCAAAAGGAAACAACUUUCCUGCAAAUAAACGGACCCUAAAUUAAACCAAAAGAAAUUUGCAUUCCAUUAUUCAAAUUUGAAAUCUUCUUAAAUAAUACAGAAAAUUGAUGAAUUAGUACUUAAACCACAUCCUUGUGGAUACAAUACUUGAAUUACCCUAUUCUAUAUGUCACAAUCCAUACGUUUAUUGUAAAACUCUAGGGACACAUCAAAGUGUAGUAAGAAAGAUAUUGAAUAUUCUUGUACUAGAUUAUGAAGGUUUAAUAAGCAGAAAUUAGAGUAUAACCAAUGAUUGAUGAUUUUAAAGUUGUUUUGCUUUUAGAAUAGCUUGUAUAUAACAUAUGUUUGGAUUCCCUUGUUAAUUUUGCAAUUAGACAAGCUAUAUAGAUGUUUUUAAGAAAAACUUGUCGUUUAGAAGCGUUAUAGUCUCACUAACAACUAAAACGAUCAAUCGGUUUAAAUUGGUUAUGUCAAUCAGUUGACUAAUUCUUGCAAAAUUCUCAUGUAUCCAUUAUUGAUAAAUAUAGAUCAACCGAUUCAUUUGGUUAUACCAAACGGUCAACUAGUUCAUGUAUAAUUCCAAUUAUGAUAGAUUAACCUAGGUGAAUUCUUAGAAUCGUCUAUCUUAGAUUUUAUCAUAUGAUUUAUCAAUUUUUUUAAAGUAUGCAUGGUGAAGUGUGUUAUCAAGUAGAAUAUAAAAAUUUACAUUGAGCACUUAAAAUGAAUACUAAUCUAAGUCUUCAUUUGCUUUCUUUUUUGAAAGCUUGAUUGAUUUUUUCAUAAAAUCAAUCAUGCUUGUUUUUAUACUCUUGAAUAAAAAUGUUUAAAACUUAUUCUCACCGAGGCCUAUUAUUAAACUAUUUUUAUUUUAUUGUUAUAAUUAAAAUAUAUAAAAAUAUAAAUAUUUGAUUUAAAGGUCAACAAUUAGCUUUUAAUGAAUAUGAUGAUAUGCAUUCAAAUUUAUGUAAAUAAUGCUAUUUAAUUUUUUAUUUUUGUUGGAUUGAAAUGAAGGAGAACUAUGGGGAGAUCGUUAGUAAAAUUUGAUUUUUUUGGUUGGCUUGAAAUGAUCAAGAAUUGUUUAGCAAUUAGUUAUAAACAUGAUUUUAGUGGGCUUCUUAAAAUGUAAUGAUUUUUGGUUGGCUUGAAAAUUUUCAAAUACCUGUCUGUUGGAAAUUUCUGCUUCAAUUUCCACCAGAGCCAACCCUUUGCCAUGACCCAGUCAAGAGUCAUGUACUAUCCAACCCCUCUUCCAUUAGGCCAUUACCACACUACCCUAUUUCCUUGCAGCAUUUCAGUACCGCUGCUGCCACCUCCUUCCUUUCCACCCUCUUAUUGUUCCUCCACUUAACGGCAUCAUCUCCUUCGAAUGACACGGGUAAUCUUUCAAACUGCAACCAAACAUUCUCUUGUGGUGCCCUCACAGACAUCACGUACCCUUUCACGGGUGGCCAACGUCCACCCCACUGCGGCCCACCGGAGUUCCAGCUCACAUGUUUUGAUAACUCAAUGACCACCCUCACAGCUAACUCACUGCCUCACCGAGUCACUUGGGUUGACCAAACCAGCCAAACCUUAAGGCUCUCACCUUUACACUUCUACGGUGACAAUCCAUGCACAUACCCAUUCACUAGCAGCACUUUUGAUAACGUUUUCUUCAGUCUUGGCUCCAACCAUAAAAACCUUACUUUGUUUUGUGGGUGCGAGAACUUAGGUGACUCUGUCGAUAAAAAAUUUAAGCAUUCCACCGGUUCAUUUGAUAAUACCAAACCGUCGACCGAUUCACACAUAAUCCCAAUUAUAAUAGAUUAACCUAGGUAAAUUUUUAAAAUUAUCUAUCUUAUAUUUUAUCAUAUGAUUUAUUAAUCCUUGAAAGUAUGUAUAGUAAAGUAUAUGAGUUCAUUUUAAUUACGCUAUCAAGUAAGAUGUAAAGAUUUACAUUAAGCAAUUAGAAUGAAUAUUAAUCUAAGUCUUCUUUUGCUUCCUGCUUUGACGCCUUGAUUUAUUUGUUCAUGAAAUCCAUCAUGCUUGUUGAUAUAUUCUUAAAUAAAUAUAUUUAAAACUUAUUGUCAACGAAAUAUAUUAAUAACUCAUUUUUUUUUUUUAUUAUUAAAAUAUAUAAAGAUAUAAAUAUUUGAUUUAAAGGUCAUGAACAAUUAGCUUAUGAUGAAAACGACGAUAUUAUUUAAAAUUUGUGUAUUUAAUGCGAUUCAAUUUUUUUAUUUUUGUUGGGUUGAAAUGGAGGGGAACUAUGGAGAAAUCUUUUGUAUAAUUUGAUGUUUUUGGUAUAUAAAUCAACUUCAAUUUGAUGUUUCAAAUUUUAUUGUUUACAUGUUUUUUUUAUAUUUUUGAUGCUUGAACAAUAAGUUAUAAACAUGAUUUUUGUGGGUUUUUUAAAAUGUAAUGACUUGGUGCAACAGUAAGAUUGUGAUUUUUUCAAGAAAGUUGUCAAUGGUAAAAUUAUUUUUUUUGUGUUGUUUUUUGUUUUCCAUGGCUCUUUAAUCAUUAAAAUUAUUAUAAUGGCAAACAUGGAAAUAAUAACAAAAUUUUUGUUGAUUUUUAUUUUGGUGCCAAAAUAAAGAACGUGAAGUGUAUUGAAGUUAUUAAAGCUCCUGAGGGAAAAAGUACUUUACUAAACUUUGAAGAAAAAGUGAAAAACGAAAAGUAAUUAUCCUUUUUUAUAUAUAUAAAGCUAAUUAUUAGUAUUUGUGUUCAACCUUAUUUCUAAUUAAGAAAGAUACUAAAACAGUAAUAUAAUUCUUAAGAAAUAGGUUGAUUUCAUUCAUUUAUAAAUUUAUCUACCGUAAUACCAUAUAUAAUAUAAGACUUUACUUUCACUAUUAAAAUUAUAAAAAUGGUUAAAAAGAAGUCAGAUAAAGCAAAUGAUUCAAAUUUAAAAAGCAAUUAAAUCACAUCAAGAUUUAGAAGUAUUAACUAAUUCUUUUCUAAAAUAUUCCAUGAGAGUGAUGUAUGGUAUUUUAAGUAAUUUUAAAUUAUAUAAUAAAAGAAAAUAGGAAGAAGAGAAUCAAUGACUUGAAAGUUUUUUUACGAAGUCUUGGUAAACCAUGGAACAGGAUCGAUGGUACAACGUGGUCCAGGGGUUAACACAGAAAAACGAUGCCAUUUCCCAUUAGCAUACUUUUCCUGCUAUCCCAAAAUUUUCAAUACCUGUCUAUAGGAAAUUUCUGCUUCAAUUUCCUCUUGACUGACUUAAACAACUUUUCAGCCAACGUACCAGAGCCACCCAACCCAUUGCCAUAACCCAGUCAGGAGUCAUGUACUAUCUAACCCCUCUUCCAUUAGGCCAUUACCACACUACCCUCUUUCCUUGCAGCAUUCCACACCCAGAACAACCACCACCAUCAUCCCCUUCUAAUUCCUCCACCAAUGCACCCCCUCAGCACCGCUGCUGCCACCUCCUUCCUUUCCACCCUCUUAUUGUUCCUCCACUUAACGGCAUCAUCUCCUUCGAAUUACAUGAUUGAUCUUCCAAACUGCAACCAAAACUUCUCUUGUGGUGACCUCACAAACAUCAAUUACCCUUUCCCCAGUGGCCAAC